CUACACAUGCAAGUCGAACGGUAACAGGAAGCAGCUUGCUGCUUCGCUGACGAGUGGCGGACGGGUGAGUAAUGUCUGGGAAACUGCCUGAUGGAGGGGGAUAACUACUGGAAACGGUAGCUAAUACCGCAUAACGUCGCAAGACCAAAGAGGGGGACCUUCGGGCCUCUUGCCAUCGGAUGUGCCCAGAUGGGAUUAGCUAGUAGGUGGGGUAACGGCUCACCUAGGCGACGAUCCCUAGCUGGUCUGAGAGGAUGACCAGCCACACUGGAACUGAGACACGGUCCAGACUCCUACGGGAGGCAGCAGUGGGGAAUAUUGCACAAUGGGCGCAAGCCUGAUGCAGCCAUGCCGCGUGUAUGAAGAAGGCCUUCGGGUUGUAAAGUACUUUCAGCGGGGAGGAAGGCGAUAAGGUUAAUAACCUUGUCGAUUGACGUUACCCGCAGAAGAAGCACCGGCUAACUCCGUGCCAGCAGCCGCGGUAAUACGGAGGGUGCAAGCGUUAAUCGGAAUUACUGGGCGUAAAGCGCACGCAGGCGGUCUGUCAAGUCGGAUGUGAAAUCCCCGGGCUCAACCUGGGAACUGCAUUCGAAACUGGCAGGCUAGAGUCUUGUAGAGGGGGGUAGAAUUCCAGGUGUAGCGGUGAAAUGCGUAGAGAUCUGGAGGAAUACCGGUGGCGAAGGCGGCCCCCUGGACAAAGACUGGCGC
rnacentral:rRNA from 1 species